rnacentral:misc_RNA from 1 species
AACAUCUCAAAUCUCUUGGACUUUUUUGUUCGAGAGAGUUGGAUUUGAGCGAUUCCGACUCUUUUCUACCCGAAAAAAGGAGGGCCGCUUGAAAUGCAGGUGCAGCUGGACAUUCUUCUGAGCUAAAAGCAUAUUUAUUUAGUCCCGUCAAACGGAUUAUUACUUUUUGCUUCAGCUAACAUAAAGGUCGAAUGAACAACCAACGCUGAUUGCAGGAAAACUCGUUUCUUGACUGAAACUUGUGA